rnacentral:rRNA from 1 species
AAGAGACAGCAGUCGCCACGGUAAUACAGAGGGUGCGAGCGUUAAUCGGAUUUACUGGGCGUAAAGCGUGCGUAGGCGGCUUUUUAAGUCGGAUGUGAAAUCCCUGAGCUUAACUUAGGAAUUGCAUUCGAUACUGGGAAGCUAGAGUAUGGGAGAGGAUGGUAGAAUUUCAGGUGUAGCGGUGAAAUGCGUAGAGAUCUGGAGGAAUACCGAUGGCGAAGGCAGCCAUCUGGCCUAAUACUGACGCUGAGGUACGAAAGCAUGGGGAGCAAACAGGAUUAGAGACCCCCGUAGUCCCUGUCUCUUAUAC